UACGAAGGGGGCUAGCGUUGCUCGGAAUUACUGGGCGUAAAGCGCACGCAGGCGGUUUGUUAAGUCAGAUGUGAAAUCCCCGCGCUUAACGUGGGAACUGCAUUUGAAACUGGCAAGCUAGAGUCUUGUAGAGGGGGGUAGAAUUCCAGGUGUAGCGGUGAAAUGCGUAGAGAUCUGGAGGAAUACCGGUGGCGAAGGCGGCCCCCUGGACAAAGACUGACGCUCAGGUGCGAAAGCGUGGGGAGCAAACAGG
rnacentral:rRNA from 1 species